GGGACGCUGCCGGGCACGACAGUAUCCGGGUAGGAUCCAUGCAGAAAAUGUCAUCGAUUAUAAUAAUUUUUUGGAUUUGCCCUGACUCUAAGAGAAAAGAUUUCGGCACUUAAAAUACAAAUAUAACAACUGAGGGGAUCACCUUGACGACAGCCACGAUGUUUUUUGAAAAACUCAGAUAACGACCCGCACUGUGUGACGGCUGAGAUGCAAUCCUUAUAUAGAACAUUAAACCAUUUGCCUAUGUCAGGAUCAAAAUUUGAUGAGACGAGUGUUUUGUUAACGCACUUCCAUGACAAUGAAUUGAAGGCCUUUUUAAAAUUUAUAAGCAGGAGGAGACCAGGAAUAUUAUUUUCUUCAGUGUACCGCAAAAGGUCAUUUUCCGUUUCUAGAUGGCAACAUCCCUAAAGGACCUUCCUAUGGUAUUUACAUUUCGCAGUUGGUACGUUAUGCCAGAGCAUGUUCGUGUAUUAAAGAUUUUAAUGAUCGUAAUCUAAUAUUAACUAAAAAAUUGCUAAAACAAGGCUUUUUGUAUCAUAACCUAAGAAAUAAAUUUGCUAGAUUUUACUCUAAGUAUGGUGAUUUAAUUUCAAAAUAUAAUGUUUCUUUAAAAUGGCAUUUAAAUAAUGGAAUCUCCCAUCCAUCAUUUUACGGAGAUGUUUUGAAGCGUGUCCGCAAAUUAAAAUAUGUUAAACCAAAUGUUCAUAUUAAACUUUUCAAUUUAAUUAACUUGUUUUUAUCAAAAGGAUACGAUGCUUAUGUACUUAAAAACACGUGUUUGAUGGUUUUCGAUUCACUAUAUCUUUCCUCCCUUAAAAUUUGGAAUCAUUAGUGAUAUUAUAGGCAUUUUUCACUGUUGAUUAAAAUUGUGUCAUUGUGUCGUAUGAACAAAUCUGCAUGAAUACUACAUUAUAGGCAUUUUUCACUGUUGAAUAAAAUUGUGUCAUUGUGUCGUAUGAACAAAUCUGCAUGUAAACUACAUUUGGACUCAAAUCGUACAUCAAAUCAUUUCUGUCUUCAGUUGUCAAAAUACCUAUAUACUGUUUGAUUCCAAUAAUGUCGCUUUAAUGGAAUUACCAUUUUUAUUCAUUUGCUUCUUUAUAUUAAAUCACCUAAACUUGUUUUAUUAGUAGCACAGCCCCAUUAAUAUUUUUAUUUAGUACUGCCCUUGGAAUUUGUUCACGUCAUUAUGGAUUUUUGUGACGUCAUACGACCGACUUUUCCAGUUGUAAUCUACAUGCAUAGGUCAUUGGGUUUAUAACGUUCCAUUUUAUUUAUAUUUUCUCUCUGAUAGGCGUUUCUUGUUUGAUUUAAUUAUUUUUAAUUUGUUUAGCAGUCACAUAAACAACCAAGCUAUGUAAUAUGGAAUUUUUACACCCAUUAUUGCUGCUUCUUCCUGUAUUUGCGCGAUGAUUAUCUGAGAUAUUAACUAUAUGAUUCUAUAUUCUCAAAUCUUUUCUAUAAAGAAGGAAUGUAGUUUACAAUUGUUAAUAGUUUUAUUUGAUCGUUCGUCAAAAAGUUGUUAUUCUGUUACUCUUGUAUCUUCAAUGCAAUUGAGUAAUUAAAUAGUAAUUAAAUUGAAUGCGUUUUAAUUCCCUUUUAUUAUUGUUUAAUUUGAGUUAUAAUGCUAUGACGUUAAAUUUUAUUUACACUUAAAUGUAUUAUGAAUAUUGCUGGGCCAAGUGUGAGGUUGAGAGCUCUAUAACCAGGUUUAAACCCCCAAUGCUUUGCAUUGACCGUUCCAAGGCGGUGAUCCCAGCUUUAUUCAUAUUUUGUGUUUAUGUUGGUUUGUAUUGUGCUGUUUUGUACUGUUUGGGCAAUCGGUCACUUGCCUUAAAUAAAGGACCAACUAAUUGUUUUUAAUGAAAAUUCAAUACUGCUCCAGCAGCUGGAGUUUCACUUCUUUAUAUAGAUCAGUCUAGUAUUUUCACUUAUGCACCUUCCUUUAAUAAAAUCAGUUUGGUCAUUAUCAAGGAGCGUGUUGAUAUAUUUUGUUAAUCUGUUAGCAAUAGUUUCAGAACUAAUUUUGUAAACAGUGUUAUUGGACGCCAGUUUUUUUUAUUUUCUGGGUUUAUCGCCCUUAGGUUAAAUUUUAGUUUUUUGUAUACAAUAAGUAGUUAACAUGUGAAAAUAAAUGUUAAUAUUAAAACGA